CUCCUCCUCCUGCAGCAGCUCUUUCUCUGGGUAGGGCAAUUCUGAACUAACUGAGCAUGCUAAGGCAACUUGGGCGCUACCGCUGUGGCAGCUUUGCCCUGCUGCGCAUAGAAACCCGGGAGGCUGCCAGUGCUGAGCAAGC